CUGGACAAGCAUAGAACAUGCAAUGUCUAGAUUUGUUUGGUUUACUUCGGAUCAGCGCUGUUCUUGUCCAAAUCCUUAUUAUUUGAAUCUGUUUCCUUUGGAGAUUUUAUUCUCGGGACCGAAGAUUUAGAUGGAUCUGUUUUGAAAACAGCCAGGUCGAGCGUGCCUGGAUUAUAAUAACUUUUCAACAGACGUCUAAAUUGAAUCCGCCGUCCGGCUCUUCUUGUUCUUUCCGGCAUGAGAGAUUUUUAGCACAACACUCUUAAAGUAAGGAAGAGAAGAACUGUGCUCGUGGUUCAAGCACUGCGUUCUGGGAAAAAGGGAGGAAUGGUGCUUGUGGUUCAAGCACAACACUCUUAAGGUAAAGAAAAGAAGAACGGUGCUCGUGGUUCAAGCACGGCGUUCUGGAAAAAAGAAUGAAAAUGAUAAGAGGGAAGAGAGGCUCAAGACCCCUUGGCAAUCGGCUAACAAGAGGCUCAGCGAAAGAUUGUCUGAUGGCUAAUUGGAGGCUAACAAGAGACAGCUUAGAGACUGACGAGAGACUG
rnacentral:lncRNA from 1 species